rnacentral:rRNA from 1 species
GACGAACGCUGGCGGCGUGCUUAACACAUGCAAGUCGAACGGUGAAGCGAGUGCUUGCACUCGUGGAUCAGUGGCGAAAGGGUGAGUAAAAAGUGAGUAACCUGCCUAUCAGUCUGGGAUAAGAACUGGAAAGGGUGUAUAAUAAUGGAUACGAAAAAAGAUUGCAUGGGGUGUUGGGGGAAAGAUGGAUCGGUGAUGGAGGGACGCGGGGCGGAUCAGCUUGUUGGCGGGGUAAUGGCCCACCAAGGCGACGACGGGUAACCGGCCUGAGAGGGUGACGAGCCACACUAUAACUGAGACACUGCCCAGACUCCUCCAUUAGACAGCAGUGCAAAAUAUUGCACCCUGGGCUACAGCCUGCUGCCGCGCCUCCUCCUUAGAUAUGACGGCCUUCGGGUUAUACACCUCUUUCAUCAGGGAAGAAGCGACAUUGACGGUACCUACAGAAGAAGCACCGGCUAACUACAUG